rnacentral:rRNA from 1 species
AUGCGUCACCUUAAGUUGGUACGCAAUAUGAGGGCACAUAGUGACCCAUGGUUUGCAGAAUAUCUAUUGCGCAUUGGUGAUGGUAAGGAGGUGACAAAUCGAGAUGGCGAGGUCCGCCUUCCAGACGAGAUAUGUGUGUCAAGAACUGGGAAGGACACUGACCUUGAUACACUGAUAGACAAUACUUUUCCUAGCCUCGAUGCUAACACGUCAGGCCCAGACUACAUCACCUCCAGAGCAAUCUUGUCGACACGGAAUGAUUCCGUGGAUAGGAUUAAUUUGAAGAUG